rnacentral:rRNA from 1 species
UGGGGAAUAUUGGACAAUGGGGGCAACCCUGAUCCAGCGAUGCCGCGUGAGUGAAGAAGGCCUUCGGGUCGUAAAGCUCUUUAGGUUGGGAAGAAGUGCAUUAGGUGAAUAGCCUAAUGUGUUGACGGUACCGACAGAAUAAGCACCGGCAAACUCUGUGCCAGCAGCCGCGGUAAUACAGAGGGUGCGAGCGUUAAUCGGAGUUACUGGGCGUAAAGGGCGCGUAGGCGGUUAGAUAUGUGUGGUGUGAAAGCCCCGGGCUUAACCUGGGAAGUGCAUCGCAAACUGUCUGACUGGAGUAUAUGAGAGGGUGGCGGAAUUUCCGGUGUAGCGGUGAAAUGCGUAGAGAUCGGAAGGAACGUCGAUGGCGAAGGCAGCCACCUGGCAUAAUACUGACGCUGAGGCGCGAAAGCGUGGGUAGCGAACAG